rfam:Schistosoma rodhaini strain Burundi genome assembly, scaffold: SROB_scaffold0000769
GCACUGCCUAGGAGUCCCAUAAUAGGACGAAACGGCCGUCUAGUGC